AGAGGGCGUGAAACCGUUUAGAAGGAAACGAGAGGCGCUGCUAGCUACCGGCAAGAAUCAGCUUUCAUCGUCGUUUAGGCGUCGAUGUUUGUGCAUUUCUUGUCGGUUCGCACUGAAAGCUGUGAUUGUUGGGUGUCAUCUCAGAUGGAGAAAGAUGUAAUUUUGCAUUGUUUCCAUCUGUCCUGACACUCUAACAUGCCCAGUUAGCGAUGCCCUGUAAUGUUCGGUGUAUGGUAAUCUUUGUUGCACUGCUUUGUUACGGCCAUCGGCUGAUUAAGGUAGAUGUAUCAUUGAGAUCCAAUUCACCGCAAUGGUGUCGUUCGGUGUGAUUGUCGGCUACCCUCCCGACCCGUCUUGAAACACGGACCAAGGAGUCUAACACGCACGCGAGUCAUUGGGUUUGUUAAACCUAUAGGCGAAAUGAAAGUAAAGGUCGGCUCGGUCGACUGACACAUGACCCGUUAAGUUUAGCUUAACGGUGCAAUGUGAUCCCAUCUUAAAUGCUUGUCAUUGAGGUGGAGAUUGAGCGCGCGUGUUGGGACCCGAAAGAUGGUGAACUAUGCCUGAACAGGAUGAAGCCAGAGGAAACUCUGGUGGAAGUCCGAAACGGUUCUGACGUGCAAAUCGA
rnacentral:rRNA from 1 species